rnacentral:rRNA from 1 species
GACGAACGCUGGCGGCGUGCCUAAUACAUGCAAGUAGGCCGCAGUUGCGAACGGGUGAGUAACGCGUAGGUAACUGCCUAUUAGAGGGGGAUAACUAUUGGAAACGAUAGCUAAUACCGCAUACUAGUAGAUGGACCUUCGUUGUAUUAGCUAGUAGGUAGGGUAAUGGCCUACCUAGGCGACGGUACAUAGCCGACCUGGAGGGGUGGUCGGGCACAACGGGAAUGGGGAACGGCCCAGACUCCUACGGGAGGCAGCAGUAGGGAAUCGUCGGCAAUGGGGGGAAACCUGACCGAGCAAAGGCGGGGGAGGGAAGAAGGUUUUCGGGUCGUAAAGCUCUGUUGGUAAGGAAGCGGUACUUAACCAGAAAGGGACGGCUAACUACGUGCCAGCAGCCGCGGUAAUUC